CUACGGGGGGCAGCAGUGGGGAAUUUUGGACAAUGGGGGCAACCCUGAUCCAGCCAUUCCGCGUGAGUGAAGAAGGCCUUCGGGUUGUAAAGCUCUUUUGUCCGGAGCGAAACGGGCGGCCCUAAUACGGUCGUCUACUGACGGUACCGGAAGAAUAAGCACCGGCUAACUACGUGCCAGCAGCCGCGGUAAUACGUAGGGUGCGAGCGUUGGUCGGAAUUAUGGGGCGGAGAGCUUGCGCAGGCGGUGUGAAAUCCCCGGGCUCAACCUGGGAAUGGCAUUUGGGACUGCAAGGCUGGAGUGUGGCAGAGGGGACUAGAAUUCCUGGUGUAGCAGUGAAAUGCGUAGAUAUCAGGAGGAAUACCGAUGGCGAAGGCAGGUCCCUGGGUUAACACUGACGCUCAUGCACGAAAGCGUGGGGAGCAAACAGGAUUAGAUACCCGUGUAGUC
rnacentral:rRNA from 1 species